UACGGGAGGCAGCAGUGGGGAAUAUUGCACAAUGGGCGCAAGCCUGAUGCAGCCAUGCCGCGUGUAUGAAGAAGGCCUUCGGGUUGUAAAGUACUUUCAGCGGGGAGGAAGGCGAUGCGGUUAAUAACCGCGUCGAUUGACGUUACCCGCAGAAGAAGCACCGGCUAACUCCGUGCCAGCAGCCGCGGUAAUACGGAGGGUGCAAGCGUUAAUCGGAAUUACUGGGCGUAAAGCGCACGCAGGCGGUCUGUUAAGUCAGAUGUGAAAUCCCCGGGCUUAACCUGGGAACUGCAUUUUGAAACUGGCAGGCUUGAGUCUUGUAGAGGGGGUAGAAUUCCAGGUGUAGCGGUGAAAUGCGUAGAGAUCUGGAGGAAUACCGGUGGCGAAGGCGGCCCCUGGGACAAGACUGACGCUCAGGUGCGAAAGCGUGGGGAGCAAACAGGGAUUAGGAUAC
rnacentral:rRNA from 1 species